rnacentral:precursor_RNA from 12 species
AGGCCCUCCAGCAGCUAGUCUCCCCCUGCCUAUCCAACCUUACUUCCCACUACGUGUACUAGAAGAGUGAUGGAAACUAAGGUUGGAUAGGUAGAGGAAGACCACAUUUGAAAAUCAGGGA